rnacentral:lncRNA from 1 species
UUCAAAUAAGGUGAUCCCAGUUUUCCUGUUUGGGAAUAUGACAACUUCUUCGUCAUUCUAAUCAAAUCAGGAUGAAUCACGAUGUAAGAACCUUCAUUUGGAUACAUAAAGUAGUGGAGAAUCACCAGGAAGUUGAAUAAAUCUCAUAGGAGUUAUGAUGAAGAAGUUAUCCCACUUUCAAAUUAGGUGAUCCCAAUUUCCCUGUUUUAGAAUACGACAACUUCUUCGUCAUUCUAAUCAAACCAGGAUGAACCGUGAUAAAUAAAGCAGAGGAGAUUUGGAUACAUAAAGUAGAGGAGAAUCACCAGGAAGUUGAAUAAAUCUCAUAGGAGUUAGGAAGAAGAAGUUAUUCCACUUUCAAAUCAAGUGAACCCAGUUUUCCUGUUUGGGAAUAUGACAACUUCUUUGUCAUUCUA